rnacentral:rRNA from 1 species
UGAUCCUGGCUCAGAACGUACGCUGGCGGCACGCCUAACACAUGCAAGUCGAACGAAGUAGCAAUACUUAGUGGCAGACGGGUGAGUAACAUGUAGGUAUCUGCCCUUUGGCCUGGAAUAACACGAGGAAACUUGUGCUAAUACCGGAUAAGUCUUUACGGAGAAAGCUUUAUGCACCAUUGGAUGAGCCUGCACUUGAUUAGUUUGUUGGUGGGGUAAUGGCCUACCAAGACUGUGAUCAAUAGCUGAUUUGAGAGGAUGAUCAGCCACAUUGGGACUGAGACACGGCCCAAACUCCUACGGGAGGCAGCAGUGGGGAAUCUUGCACAAUGGAGGAAACUCUGAUGCAGCGAUGCCGCGUGAGUGAAGAAGGCCCUUGGGUUGUAAAGCUCUUUCGUCGGGGAAGAAAAUGACUGUACCCGAAUAAGAAGGUCCGGCUAACUUCGUGCCAGCAGCCGCGGUAAUACGAAGGGACCUAGCGUAGUUCGGAAUUACUGGGCUUAAAGAGUUCGUAGGUGGUUGAAAAAGUUAGUGGUGAAAUCCCAGAGCUUAACUCUGGAACUGCCAUUAAAACUUUUCAGCUAGAGUAUGAUAGAGGAAAGCAGAAUUUCUAGUGUAGAGGUGAAAUUCGUAGAUAUUAGAAAGAAUACCAAAUGCGAAGGCAGCUUUCUGGAUCAUUACUGACACUGAGGAACGAAAGCAUGGGUAGCGAAGAGGAUUAGAUACCCUCGUAGU